rnacentral:rRNA from 1 species
UGCAGCGACGCCGCGUGUGGGAUGACGGCCUUCGGGUUGUAAACCUCUUUCAGCAGGGAAGAAGCGAAAGUGACGGUACCUGCAGAAGAAGCGCCGGCUAACUACGUGCCAGCAGCCGCGGUAAUACGUAGGGCGCGAGCGUUGUCCGGAAUUAUUGGGCGUAAAGAGCUCGUAGGCGGUCUGUCGCGUCGGAUGUGAAAGCCCGGGGCUUAACCCCGGGUCUGCAUUCGAUACGGGCAGACUAGAGUGUGGUAGGGGAGAUCGGAAUUCCUGGUGUAGCGGUGAAAUGCGCAGAUAUCAGGAGGAACACCGGUGGCGAAGGCGGAUCUCUGGGCCAUUACUGACGCUGAGGAGCGAAAGCGUGGGGAGCGAACAGGAUUAGAUACCCUGGUAGUCCACGCCGUAAACGGUGGGAACUAGGUGUUGGCGACAUUCCACGUCGUCGGUGCCGCAGCUAACGCAUUAAGUUCCCCGCCUGGGGAGUACGGCCGCAAGGCUAAAACUCAAAGGAAUUGACGGGGGCCCGCACAAGCAGCGGAGCAUGUGGCUUAAUUCGACGCAACGCGAAGAACCUUACCAAGGCUUGACAUACACCGGAAACGGCCAGAGAUGGUCGCCCCCUUGUGGUCGG